CACGCCUACGGGACGCAGCAGUGGGGAAUAUUGCACAAUGGGGGAAACCCUGAUGCAGCGACGCCGCGUGAGUGAAGAAGUAUUUCGGUAUGUAAAGCUCUAUCAGCAGGGAAGAUAAUGACGGUACCUGACUAAGAAGCCCCGGCUAACUACGUGCCAGCAGCCGCGGUAAUACGUAUGGGGCAAGCGUUAUCCGGAUUUACUGGGUGUAAAGGGAGCGUAGGUGGCAGGGCAAGUCAGAUGUGAAAACGCGGGGCUCAACUCCGGGGGUGCCUUUGACACUGUCCAGCUAGAGUGAGGGAGAG
rnacentral:rRNA from 1 species